AAGCGAAAUACCGCCUUCAUUAUUGAGGGCGGUAUCUAUCCAAAGUGGUAUUUGGGUACUGAUGAGCAGCCGAGA
rnacentral:hammerhead_ribozyme from 1 species